GCCCCCAUCCAUAGCUAGAAGGUAUUCAGAGGAACAGAAAUGUUUCAGCCGGCGAAGGAACCUCUGUAAAAGGCACAUGUGAACCAGAAAGAAUGUGUCUGCAGGCGUAAAGGCUUGCCUUUUUAUUUCAUGUCCUGCAAGAAAUUAAGGAAAGUCUUUCUGCAGUAAAAUGCACAUAAAGAAGAUGUGCAUACAUUGACUUUCUCUGAGAUUGGUACAUGGGCUCCUCGCGAAGAAUUUCCUGAUUUACUACAUUUUCACCAUGUUAAGAGUUAAUCCCCAAUGUUGGAACCUGAAGUUCAAUGGUGAAAGAAAGCUACAGCUGCCAGAUACCAGCAAUGGAACUGCAGGGGCCACCAGACUUGUUUUUGUUUUUGCAAGUGGCACUAACAACCCAAUAAACUUUCCUUCCUCUGACCCUGCCAUCUAUCACAUUUGCCAUCAUACGUACUGGUGGAAAAACCAGUCCUCUGAUUUGGUUUCUGAGGGAAAACAGUUGCUUGGCCUAAUGUUUUAUUAACAUCAGGGUCUCCUAUCUCAUACUUGUGCUUGAAACCAAACACCUUGACCAGUCAGUGUCCACCAAGGGUGGUAUAAGAAGGCACAGUCCAUCUUGGGUAAGUUUUUGUAUUAUCACAAAAGAGAAGACACUCUUUUAAAAAAUUAAACAACUCUGAGGCCUAAAGCCAGUAUGUAGUGAGAGAUUUAUUAUCCAGUCAAAAAUGAGGCUAUCUCUAAGUGUAGGUUUAGUGCUAAAAAUAGAUUACCAAAAGCUUGUUUUUUAAUUUCUGCCCUGCUAGGAAAAAUAAUCACUAACCCUACAAAUGUGGCUCCAAAUCUUUCUGAUUAUAUUCUAGGGCCUGUUUGGGUAAAAGAAUUGAAAGAAUUAUUUAAAGCUACAGAACUCUCAUGCCCCUUAAAUGGCACACUACAGAGAUACAUUCUUUACAAUUAAUUUCCAGGGGCUCCUUGCUUCCUGAAACCCAUUCUUAGAAACUGUAAGUCUAAGAAUUCAUCCACUGCAUAGUAUUCUGAAAAGCUUUACUGCUUCCCAUUAAUACAAAAUAAUAUAAAAUUUUCUAUAGGAAAUAUCAAUACAUCCAUCUUUUUUUUUUUUUUCUUGAAAAUAAAUUUUAGGUAGGUUCUAUGCA
rnacentral:lncRNA from 12 species